CAGGGGUUUCACCCACAAGGCCUCCUCCAAGAGGAAGAGCUAUCUGGUCUUAAUCUCUCCAGAAGUCAGGAAAGGAGGGACAGUUUUUUCCACUCACCAAUCUGAAGUCCAAGGGGAGAAUAUCCCAGAGCAGUCUUACCAAAUGCUAGAAUCUCAGGUUCAUGUUGAAGAAGGUCCUCCAUCAGCCUCCAAAGCCUCAAAAGAACUUGAAGACCCCCUCACAGAAAGUUGUAGCCACUUUUAAAGACCCUUCUUUGCGUCACUUCCUGUUCCUUCCUCCACUUUACAGGGACCAGUUGUAGCCUUUAAAUUUGCUUAGAACUACCCAGGGGGAAGUCAGUUGUUUUUGAGUUGUUACCCAAUUUAGGAAGUUGUGGACCUCCCCCACUUGGGUGUCCCCCACUUAGGCUGUAUUCACUUCUAUUGUCUAAAUUUAAAAUUGGAUAAGGAGAGAGUUAAUCCCAUCUUCACAUCCAAGUUGCUUAUGGGCUUUUCCAAUGGUAUUUUCUCCAGUCCAGUCAUAGGGGGAGGGUACAAAUAAAGGCAAUGUAACAGAACAUAUAGCUAAUGGCCAAAACAUAGUAGUGAAAAUGACUUGGUGUAACAGAUAUUAGAUUAGAUUAAUAUGUGGACUUAAAAAACAUAAUUAAAUCUUAAAACAAUCAGCAAAUCAAUAUAUGUGGUAGGAUGCAGUAACACAGUGUCAAUAGAAGCUUGCACAUGUGAGCAAUCAAUCCAAGAGUCCUUUUCUCCAAUUCUGAUAGCUGUGUUACAGAGACUUCUUCACUAUUUGGAGGAGAGCAAACUGAAACAGUUAACAUCAAUUAAGCAAAUGGAGUCUAAAAAAGCUUAAAAUUCACCUCUAGACUCUUUAAGGUUCCUUCCCCUCCCAAGUAUCAUCAUCUAUUUAUAUUCUUUUGGUCACACCUCUGGGGUUCCCCAUACCUGCAAUGAGCAUAGUGUGGACAAAACCCCAUAAUGGAUGCGUUGCAGUGACUGGGCAGGCCAAAAUGGCAAGAGGGUGUAGGGAGAUGAAUCUCCCUUCUGAAUCUUGUGAUUACUCAAGCUGACAGUAAGGACAAAUGUACCCAGGAACAGUAGGAAGGAAAGACAUCCUAAAACAGUAACACUCUCUGGGAAUGGGAGCUAUUUGAGAUAGGCAGGAAAUUGGCCAUGCUGGUAAUUCUGCGUAUUAAAUUGGCUGAACAUCUACUUCCUGUUAGUAGGUGGCAUUAGCAUAGUAGCACUGGCUAGGAGUUCAAGCCAAGGAAUGUUUGGGUGAAGAGUUCCAUCCCUUUGCCCCCCCAGGGGUAAAGCUAGUAGCCCCAUGACUCUUCAGUCCCCACCCCCACAGCCAGGAGCAUGGAAGCCCUCCUGGGUUAGCCAGGUUGGGGUAGGGGUGGAGAACAUGGAUUGGCUGCUCCAUGCUUUGUUCCCCUGCUAAAAAGCAGCUUGUGCAGACUUGAGACCCACAUGUAGGGGAGGUAGCCCAACGGGAUGUGGAUCUCGCCCUUCUGACAGAAAAAAAAAAAGUGGUUCCAAACAACUCCCAGACCUUCUGGCAAACAGUAGUGGUAGGGAGGCUGUGGCAGGUUCUAGAGGAGAGACAACAGUGAACUGCAGUAGCCUGGGGACAAGAGAAAGGGCAGUGGGAGGAGGAGGAACAAUAAGGGCGGCAGAGGCUUCAAAAGUAAUCUUGUUUUUUUUUUUUGUUUAUUAAAAAAAAAAUUGCUUUACCAACUUAGAGAGAAACAAGUCCUAAAUUCCAGACUUCUGGUCACCAACAAUGUAAAAUUUAAAUUAAUAUCCAAUAACUCCAAGUAUUAUAUUUUAUAAGAUUAAUUAACAAUCACUUGAAGCAGAAGAAAUAAAAGGACAAAAGUAAAAGCCUGAGUAAAGGCACAUUUCCCAGCCAUGUUGGCAGGAAAAGAGAGAGAGAGGGAAGGAACUACAUAAAACUUAUAUCUUCCCUACUUUUGUACAUAAUGUGAGAAGAAACAUGGGAAACUGAGAAAGAGAGUUUCUGGGGAGCAAAUUCUAAUUAGACAGUUUCAGUUCUUGAAACUAAAAAAGAAAAUUUGCUUAGCUGACACUUUUUUUUUCUCUUGCCUUUUCUAUAUGCCCUUUCUCUCCCUCACUUCCAAAAAUAAAUAAAUAAACAAACCAGGCCUUUGAGUCAGCUUAAUCCUAUCUGGGAAAAGUAUUACAUUACUUCCUCCAUAGUCUUUAAUGGUUUUGAUUUAGCAAGAAUGUUGGAUAUAUCAAUCCCUCUAGACCCUAACUUCCCCUUCAUUAAAUUCUGGAAUCAAUUUUUCAAGCUUAUGACAGGAUUAUUCUCUAUCUACUCCCCACCUACCUCCCACCACAUAUAUUUUUUAUAUUCCUUGACAUAGGAAAAUUCUCUCACCUUGGCUUCUGAAUUGUUAAAAAUUUCUAUAGCUUCCCACACUCUUCACCUUACCAUAUGCCUAAGCCAAUAAAUAAAGGACCUUUUCCCCUUUGAUCUCUUGAAGAAUCUCUUUCUUCACACUCCUGGAUUUCUAGAUGCUUAUGUCUUAGAAGUUUUCUUGCCUUUGACUUCUUUUCUCUGUCUUGCAUGGUUUUGUUAAAUUAGAUUUGAUAGCCUAUUUUAACAGUUGUCUCUGCCUUUAUUAAGGAAGAUGACUUCUUUAUUCUUUUAUCUAAAUAGGCAUUCAUUCUCCAGUUUCCUGGAGGCCACAUAGCCGCAGCAAUUAUAUGACUUAAUGAUUUGUGAUUGAUUCCCCUGAGCUCCAUGAUUCCAUGCUAUCCCUGGAACAGAUCCCAUUUCUAGACUGAUAUUUUCCUUACUUGAUUCUUCCAUACAUACAAAAUGUUAAUGAUAGACCCACUUGGUAGUCAAUAAACAAUAUCUUUUGAGAGACUUUUUUUUGUUCAGAUCUUCCUCUUUGUUUUGGGGUUUUUGAGGGUUUCAAGACCCUCCCUAGAGAGGGCUUGGGCUUGCUUUUUGAACUUUAACCAUAUAUUUUUAAUAGGGUAGGGAGAAAGAAAAGAUUUGUGAUGGAAUCUGUGAUUUUAUCAAUGUGGGGGGGGAUUCUCUUUAGCAAUACAAGUUAGUUAACCAUCUAAAAAAGAAGGAAGGAAUAAAGGAAGGAGGAAGGAAUGAAGGAAAAAAGAAACAAAGGAAGAGGGAGAGAAGGGGGAAGAGGGAAGGAGGAAGGAGACAAUUUGAGAUAACUGAGAAGUUCAAUGACUUGUUGGCCCAAUCUAUCAACUCCUUCACAAUAUGUUAAGUAAUAUUAAUAAUUAUAAAUAUUUUCCUAUUCAUCAGGAUAGAUUCAUAAUCAACAAAUAUUUGAAAACAGCAAUCUUUUGGCUCAAAGCUAAACAUCGCCAGUUGCUUCAGAUUAAUCCUAGGAAUUUAGUUCAUUGCUAUAAAAUUAGAAAGGAUUGUAAAGGUUAUCUAGUCUUUUAAAAAAUAAGAAAAACAAAAUACCUCCUGGGAGUUUGUAAGAAAGCAAAGUAAGAAAUGCUUUAAUAGCACAAACCCUCCACAAAUAGAAAAAUAAAUAAUUUUCCUCAAAAUAAAGGAAAGCAGGAGAGAUUAUAAAUAAUAAUAAUAUUAUAUAUAUAUAUAUAAUAAAUAAUAAUAAUAAUAAAUAAAAGACAAUAAAAAAUGACAGAAAAGAAUAAAUGGGUUGUGGGGGCAGAGAAUCAACUCUCUAAAAGCUAGAAUGUAGCAAAUGGAAUUGGAGGCACAGGAUAUAUUGAAGAAAACAAUUCUCUAAAGGCUAGAAUGGGCCAAUUGGAUAUGGAGGUACAGAAAUACACUGAAGAAUAAACAUCCUAAAGAUUAGAGUGGGCCAAAUGGAUAUGGAAGCAAAAAAAAAAAAAUUAGAAAAUAUAAGCAAAGGAAAACAACACUACUUAAAGAUCAGAAUUGGCCAAAUAGAAAAAGAAAUACAGAAGCUCAAGGAAAAAAAUAAUUCCUUAAAAUUAGAAUUGGGUAAAUGGGAGCUAAAGAAUCCAUAAGAAGUCAGGAAAAAAAAUAAGACAAAAUAAAAGAAUGGGAAAAAAAGAAAAAAAAUAUCUGAAAUACCUUACUGGAAAAACAACUGACCUAGAAAAUAGACCGAGGAGAAGCACUCUAAGAAUCACAGGAAUACCUGAAAGCCAAACUCAAAAAAAAAAAAAGAUCCUAGAUAUCAUAUUAAAAGAAAUCAUGAUGCAAAGCUGCCCUAGUGUCAUCAAACAAGAAGGAAAAAUAUUUUUUUAAUUUAUCAAUUAUUUCCUGUGCAAGAGACCCCCCCAAAUAAAACUUACUGGGACUAUUAUAGCCAAAUUUCAGAACUCUGAAGCUAAAGUUUCCAAAAGGCAAAGGUUCUAGAUCUAUCACCGAUAAUUAUCUACUCAGCAAAACAGUAUAAUCUUUCUUGAGAACAAAUGCAUAUAUAAUGAAUUGGAGGACUUCCAGACAUUCCUGACAAGAGACCAGAGCUGAAAAGAAAAUCCAGAAGAAUAUGCCCACUCCAGGUGAAACAUCACAUGUUAGCUCAAGAGCAUAAAGGAGAACUCAACACUGAGGAGCUAUAGAAUCUUCAGAAGCAGAAAAGCUAAUGAUCAGAGUGUUUUCUUAGGUGAUCAAGAAACAAAGGAGGGUGUCUCCACUUCAUUCAUCAAAGAAACAUGUGGAAAAUGGAUGGAAGUACAAAACUUUGUUGAAAAAUAUCACCCUGUUAAAUCUUUUUUAACAAACCAAUUUGUAAAUUUUAUUAAAUGACCAAACUAUUUCCCACUUUAGAGGAAUUUUGAAAUGGACAACAAUGAACAUCAUGGAUUGGUUUCUUUGAAUCUCAAAGUUCAGUGGUGAUAAGGGACAGAAAAGAGAAAGAAAAAGCACUUCAAAAAGACACUUGCCCUCAGAUAUUAUGGAAGGGGACUCCUCUUCCAUACAACAUUUCUUCUCUCCAUCAUGUCAUGAACUCCUCUCAAUAUACAUAAAGUUAAAUUAAAUUUUUUUUGCUUAAAUCUA